rnacentral:lncRNA from 1 species
AAUUCUAUGUUACUAUUACUGUGUAUUGAGAAAAUAGAAACUGGAAAAAAUUCCUGUCAUGCAGGAAGGGCUGAUGGGGCAGAAGCCAAGUGAUACGGAGGAAUUAUUGAAACAAUCUCAAAAAGAGCUACUGUGGCUUCAGAGACAGCUGUCCUUUAUCUCAUCAGGUGGCCCUAUGUGUGUUUUGGCAGCUAGCAAGUUUGGAAAUGAUCCGUCAUGUUUACAGCCUGCAGCAUCGCAAAAAGCAUUUGAUCGGACCCAGAUUUUAGAGGAAACCCAGAUUUCUAAGUCUCAUGUCACAACAUUAAGUCAAGAGUAUUGCCACUGGCGGUUUUUAGUAAGUCCUCACUUUGUUUUUAUUGUUUUCAAGGCAACUGAUGAAUUUAAAGACAAAUCUAGUUUUGCACACCAUGCUGCUUUUUCUUGCAUGCGCACUAACACCAUUGGUUUGGCAGGGGGAAGAAAGUGUUUCAACUCCACAGUCUUUAUAGAAACAGAUUCUCUGUAUUGAUUUCUUCAAAUCUGGUAGCUCUGUAGUAGCAUUUCAAUGAUAAAAUAAAUUUGGACUUGGAACAUAAUUUUAAGUAUGA